ACUUUAUUAAUUCACGUGCCUAGACUCCAAUUGAAUGAUUGAUUAGCAAUCGAGUCUCGGUACAGCUGCAUGAUUUCUAAAUAUUACAAUAGCAGCGGUGGUGUCAUUGAGUUACAAGGAACACAGUGACUUUUAGUGAGGCUGAGCCUGUUCUCGAAGCUGUGAAACCCUGGAGUUCGAAUGGAGGCUCUGAAAACCAUAGUGUACACCAGGAACUUGAUUUUGACAGGGUAAUAUUUCACAAGCCUCUUGUCAGCCUUUUUUUUAAAGCAUGUCAUAUAUAGAUACAGAACAUGAAAUGGAAUUUAAAGUAGAGUUUACAAAACAAGCAUACUGUAUUGAGCAAUGCAUUUCUAAUCUAGGUCUUCCUGGAGUCUUAUGGUCUCUGAUACAAGACCUUACACAUCAUUGUGCUUCGCAAGCAUUCUAAUCCUGCAAGGCUGUUUUUAGUUUUUUCCCAUUCUAGAUCAUAGCCUCUUUCCAGUGGGCACGCUACCUCUGCCUUGCUCCUCUGCCCACUCCAGCACAACUGAAGGAAGCCAGAGAUAGGAUAAGGAAAGAAGGCUUGAUACAGCACACUCUGAGAGAGUUUGUGCUUUACAUCAUCAUGUUGCUCCUGCUCAUGUUUGUAACCUAUGGAAAAUCCUCCAAUGACCAAUACCUUCUAAAUCAGGCCAUCAGGACUGAGUUCACCAAGAACCCGAAGAAACUGCUUUCUGAAGUGAAAACAGCCGAGGAUUGGUGGAGCUGGAGCUUAACAGCAUUAUUGGAGGGUCUGUAUUGGAACACUUGGUAUAACAAUGCUUCUGCAAGCGACAAGGCUGGUCCCCUUAAAGGAACAUGUAGUCUGAUUGGUGAACCGGAGCUUCAGAAAAUAACACUGGCUGCACGCUCAUUUUCCUGACUUUGAUUCUUCUUCACCUUUACUUCCAAGUCUGUGCAAUGCCUCAGAAUGGGAUUGCUGGUUUACUGGCAGGAACCAUGGAAUUAGCUUAAGAACUUUUACUUGGAUGAAUUUGAGAAUCUCAUGGAUAAGCUUCUGUUCCGAAUGGUUUUUCAAAUAGCUUGCACCGUUCUCUACCAGCCAAACAGAGAAACUACCUGGGUGAUGAAAGCCCUCUGAUAUCCCAGUCUGAUUAUUAUUCCAGUCCAGGCUCAGAGAUCACAGCUUAAAACUGAAACGUUUCGCCAUCUGCAUCUGAAAAACCAUGGCAGCCCGUCAGCGACAUCCACAGACAAUUCUGAGAACUGCAAGUCCAGCCAUACCCACUCCCAAGAUAGAGAAGAUUAUCUGUCAGACUUUACAAAGCCCAGUGUUACUCUCCCUGGAAGUACAAAUCCAUCAAGCGAAUCCUGCACUUCAAUGUCAGAUUCCUGUAGUUUGCCAGAGCAAAGAGGCAGUUGCCAGACAAGUUGUGCAGUAAACCCAGAUAACCUUGCCAAACUCGGAGAUGAUUUACCCAACGUGCUGUGUGGGACCAAGUGUCCCGAAAAGCUGGCAGCACAGUCUAUCGAAAGCAGGACAAGCCACCAGAAGUGGUACACGUCUGUCCCCCAGCAAACCUCUUAAACGAUCUCACACCACCAUCAUCAAGUCCUUAGAGAGCCCCAUUGAGGUCACAGACAGUGGAGCUGGCAAUAAUGAUGAGGAUGGUUAUGCUAGUGAAGAGAAAACCUCUGUAUCUGCUAAAGAGACAAUGGAUCAGCCAACCAAACUGUCAAGCCCUGAGCGAUCAUCACAGCACAGCAACACCAAAGGUCAGAGGUCAGGGCCAAAAGUGCAGGAACGCGCACAAGAUUCAGAUCUGCAGAAUGAGCUCGCUGUUCUAUCAGAGUCACUAAGAUAGUGUUGGUGACUUUAUGUUUCUAUGUUCUUCCCCUAACCUGGCAGUGGACAGGUUACCAGAUAUCUAUGUCUUUUUGCAUAAUCUGUGCAUUACAGUAACCAAAGGGAGAGAGCAGUAGAGCUCAUUUAUUCUACCCACAUAAGUCAGCAGCUAUCUGUACAAAUGACCUUUUUAUUUAGAAUGGAUUGAAACUUGAUUUGGGCGUAAUCACAAUGUAAGUUAUUUACAAAAUAUUGUCCAAACAAACAUUUUGGUAUUCUCCUGCUGAACACAAUGAAUAACGAGAAUGUUAAAAAAGAGGGUGGUACAAGCAGAUAUUCUGGAACAAGUGCUUAAUCCAGGGGUGGCUGAACCCAGAUCUGGAGGCAAUCUGUCACCAUCUUGACCUCCCUAGCUAUUUUAAUUUGCAGCAUGUCAUUCACUGGCUUACACUCAUAUGAAUGAUAUGUAUUGUAUAUUAAAUAACCACCAGGCUCAAGAGUUUUAAAAGCCGCUCAUUUAUAAAUGUCAUUUAAGCUAAGUGCGCAUUUGGACAAGCUUUCCGGGACAAUAAGAGAAAAAGGGCUUUUAUAUAUUGUUAAUGUUUUCUAACAAUUAACAUUAGAAGUUAUGCAACACAACAA